rnacentral:rRNA from 1 species
UACGAAGGGGGCUAGCGUUGCUCGGAAUGACUGGGCGUAAAGGGCGCGUAGGCGGAUGGCACAGUCAGAUGUGAAAUCCCCGGGCUUAACCCUGGGAACUGCGUUUGAAACUGGAAGGCUUGAGUGUGGCAGAGGGGGGGGUGGAAUUCCACGUGUAGCAGUGAAAUGCGUAGAGAUGUGGAGGAACACCGAUGGCGAAGGCAGCCCCCUGGGCUAACACUGGCGCUCAUGCACGAAAGCGUGGGGAGCAAACAGG